UUCUAGGGAUCCUCCAUACUUCUUUUG
rnacentral:piRNA from 1 species